CUGUGUUGGCCAGGCUGGUCUCAAACUCCUGACCUCAAGUGACCCACUAGCCUCCCAAAGUGCUGGGAUUACAAGCAUGAGCCACCGUGGCCUGUCAUCCUUUAGUCUUUUCUUGGUGCCAAGAUGCUUUUAGGAAAUGAUGGUGCCAGUAGAUGGCAGUUUUAUUUUUUAAUGUUUUCUUUGGAAAAAUGUCAACAGUUGUUCAUCUGCCACCCAAUUGAAAACAAAUUCAAAAUGAUGCAACAAAAACUGGUUGAUGAAAUCCUCAAGUCUGGGAACCACUGGGUUGCACUGAGUGGGCCGGGCAGGGCAUCUGGCAGCAUCAGCACCCAGAUCAUCGCUCUGGGAGGUGGAUUUGAACUGCCAAGCACCCAUCCAGGUUUCAAGUGAACUUUGGCGCUGCUGGGGGACAUUACUAUCCCCUGGAAGAAUUCGAGUUGGGCUUAGGCCCAUAUCUCUUCUUCACCUCAAUGUAAGAUUAGAUAUUUUCUGCUCUCCAAUGAUUCAUCUGGAUUUUUUCCUCAGCCUUCUAAUUUGUGAUGAAACAGUAUGAUGGAACUCAGGAUUUCCUGUCAGUUUAAUCUGUUCCCGCCCCCGAGUCAUUGGAACUGGAAAUAGCCAAUCAAAUAAUUGCAGUAACAGCUGCCUACUGUGGGUGACCAGCUGGAGUUUGCGAGGCAGGCGGUCUGAAGAGGGCUUGUCACUGGGUCCUCACAGUCAUUGCUCCCUCCAGCAAGCAAGGAUGACACGCUGACGUCUCUGGUGAAUCCUGGCGAUGUUCCCUUUUGCACUCUUGGGUGGCAUUGGACUUGCUGGGACAGGCUGUCUCCUUGCCUGCUUAAGCCCGGCCAAAGGAAUUCCCAGUGCAGCGUUCCCCCCAGGCCCUCUGGCACACAUGGCCACCACUCCCACUUAUGAAAUCCUGACAUGCUUUGGGUAUGCGGAUAACCCUUGCAGGCCACAGGACCCAGAUGAGUGACAGCACAACUUGGCAUCACCUAAGUAGGGGGGACACGAACAUUGAGCUCCAACCCAGAUUAAAAAACAAUGACUACCUUUAAUGAGGUCUGAUUUACAUAUGAUAAAUGCACUCAUUUAAUCGGAUAGUCAAUAUGUGUUGACAAAUCAAUAUCCCACAGUGACCACCAAAACCAAGUAUAGAACAUUUUUAUCCAAAAAGUUUUCUCAUGAUCCUUUGUAGUCAGGGACUACCCCGGCUCUGCCCCUGGCCCCAGGCCUCACUAUUCUGCUUUCUGUCACUAUGGUUUAAUUUUGUCUUUUCUAGAAUUUAAUACAAAUGGAAUCAUUCAGGAUAUAUGCUUUUGAGUCUGGAGAAGACCCAGUGUAAGUCUGACACCCACAAUUAGAUAACUUUGUGACCCUUGGCAAGACACAGUUCUGUCUUCAACUGUUUCCUUACUAGUGCAAUGGGGUAAUAAUAACUUACAGCCAGCAAGCCUUCCUUCCUGCCCCCUCCCUCCCUCCCUCCCUCCCUUCAUGUGCGCAGCUGCUACAGUGAGCUCCACUGUAAAAUUCCAGAAAGGAGCUGGGUCAGGGGUUGCUCAGGAAACAGGAGCCUCUGCUCCCUCCACCUCUGACUGUCACAGAAGGCUUCCUGCUACCCUCCUUCCAUGCUCAUCCCCAGCCUCCCUGGUGCCAUAGUCUGCAGGUCCCUGUAUCCCUUCAAGGAGGACUCCUUUUAUUUAAAUAAGGGAGAUAGGAAGAUACCCCUGGAAAGAACCAGAUGUGGUGAUGAGGGCCCCCACCCUCAUGAUGGGCAAAGGCCAGAGGUGACCAGGGCCUGAGCAGCAGGAAGGACCAUUUCAGAGGGUGGGGAUGCAUAGAGGCCUGGAGUGGGGCCUGCCUGGCCCUGGGGCUCGGGACAUUGGAGUUUUCAGGGGAAGCAGUGAGUGGAAGGCCUGUGGAGCUGCUGGACACCAGGUGAGUGGUGGCAUCAGGACACACACACUGCUCAGAACCACCCAGGAACAACCUGAUGGACACCUUUGUGCCCUUUUUUUUUUUUUUUGAGACGGAGUUUUACUCUUGUUACCCAGGCUGGAGUGCAAUGGCGUGAUCUCUGCUCACCGCAACCUCUGUCUCCUGGGUUCAAGCAAUUCUCCUGCCUUAGCCUCCUGAGUAGCUGGGACUACAGGCGUGCGCCACCAUGCCCAGCUAAUUUUUGUAUUUUUUAGUAGAGACGGGGUUUCACCAUGUUGACCAGGAUGGUCUCGAUCUCUUGACCUUGUGAUCCACCCAUCUCGGCCUCCCAAAGUGCUGGGAUUAUAGGCGUGAGCCACCGUGCCUAGCCCCUUUGUGCCCUUCACAGCACAACUUGCCAACACUGGACACACCCAGAAGCACUUGCAGAUCAGAGAUCACUGCACACACAGCAUAGUCCCUGCUUUCCUGGAUCUCACGUGCUAAAACAUGACCACAUCCAGGCUACAGCAGCCCGUCCUUAGACAGAGAUGCGGAGGGUCCUGAGUCUGGUCGAGUCCUGAGUUCCAGCCUCCAGACUGGUCCUGCCAAGCUGCUCGGCAUAUGUCGCAGCAGGGCAGCGCUGUGCUGCCCUCUACUGGACACAUGGAGGCGGUGCCUCCCCACGCUGUUGUCCACUCCUGGCAAUGAAUGGGCUCAGGGGAAGUGGACCAUGUUUCUGGUCCCUUGCUUCUGACAACCUGGCAGAGCAGAUAUGGAAUGGCGGAGCAGAUAUAUAAGAACUCUUAUCCCAGUGCCCUGACCUCCGUAUUAUUCCCUGUGUGCCCCGCACUCCCCUUCCCUUCCCUAUAAGUGCCUGGAUUUAAGAAGUGACAAUGGAGGCAAAACAUGUUGCUUUUUCAGCCAUCUCCUGCGGUGUCCCCUUUCCAUGGCCUCAUCCUCUCAUGGCCCCCAGCGGUCACAACUGGUCUCUCUUGGCCAUCUUUCAUCCAGUGGGGAUGGAGGGACCCGUGCCAUUUCUGGAAGGAGCACCUGAGUUUGGAGGUGAAACAUAGGUGAUACCUUAUCCAGGUGACCCCUUCGCCAGGCCACAAAACCAUGGUUCAUAGAUGAGGUCGGGCAUUGUGGCUCAUGUCUAUAAUCCCAGCACUUUGGAAGGCUGAAGCCAGAGGAUGACUUGAGGCCAUCCUAGCGUCUAGUCCCAGCUACGCAGAAGGUUGAGGCAGGGAGGUAACUUGAGCCCAGGAGUUUGAGGCUUCGGUGAGCUGUGAUCGGUUGUACCUCUGCAUGUCAGCCUGGUCAAGGAGGAAUGUUAGGGGUGGGACUGGACUAGAAGAGAGGCUGGGACGUCGAGAUGAGGUUGCAGGGACGCUGCGGUGGGAGAAGACGAGCCCCCACCUGUUUGUCCUCGGCAAGGAGUGACUGAGGCUCAAAAAGCCACAACCUUGCCCCAAAUUGAUGCAGCGGGUGCAGGCAGGGUCCACACCUCGAAGCUUGCUGAUAUCCUCGGCGGCGGGUCGUCCUGCAGAACCGCGUUCCCUGCGCCCAGCAAGGCCCAACCCCCACCAGGAUUCCCAGAACUGGGUGUCCCGCGCGUCCCCAGCAGGCGGAGACGAGACCUCCGUGUCGGCGCUGCACACAGCGGCCAGCAGGGGGCGUUGGAGCCCCGCGUUUGAGCAGCCAGGACGCCCCUGCGCGGUUCUGAGUCCUGCGGGCGCCCAUUUCAGGGAUGAGGGCCAGAGAGGGGUCAAACCCGUGUCCUGCCCGGCGCGCGUUCACCGCCUGCCCUCCGGGCACGGCCUUAGCAGCUCGGUCCCGGCCUGAGCGCCUCGGAGUGAAAAGAGUCCCCGCACCUCCCGUGACAGUGUCCCCUUCUCUGUCCACGUUGCAAAAAGCUGGACUUUACUCGCCGUGUCUUUAAAUCUUGAUCACUUCCCCUCGGAAGGCAUGAACCUCUCCGUUUUACAGAUCCGUUUCAUAACAAUAAGCAACGACAAAAAUAACACCAGCAAACCUUUAUGGAGUUCUAAUGAUUGACUGGACCUGCCAGGGCCCUUCAGAGUGGAGUUGGAGCGGUUGCGGAAGAGGGGUCAAAGGCCAGCCCGAGGAGGGGGCCACCCGUGCAGACCCCUCUCCUCCAUCUGAGGGCCUGCGAGGAGGAACAGAUGGGCCAUGGCUUGAGUGACCAGAGUGUGUGGGGAGAGGCCCUGGGAACAGGAGGAGGCCUGGCACCUGCAGAGGAGCAUUGCCAGAGGGCAGGGUGCUUGCAGCUACAGCUGAUCCCAGAGCUGUGCCCAUCUGUGCUAGGACCACUAGUUCUCAAGGCCUGGCCCCAUCCUAUUCCAGCCGCUGGUGCAUCUGGAAGCAGGCCUGGCACAACGCAAUGUGGCAUGGUGGUGAAGGGCUUGGCCUGGGGAACGCCAGAGCCUGGGUUCAAGUCCUGCUGCCACCACUUACCCACUGUGUGAUCUUGGCAUGACCCUUAGCCCCUGCCUCAGUUUCCUUAUCUGUACAAUAAAGAUAAUAAUAGAAUACAGCUCUGUGUUAAACAUGCUUGUUUUGUGUGUUUUAUGAUACUUGGACAUCUUGGAGCCCAAUGAAGCCAGGGAGGAACUGCCCCUAAGGAGGCUUG